rnacentral:rRNA from 1 species
UACGGAGGGGGCGAGCGUUAUUCGGAAUUAUUGGGCGUAAAGAGUUCGUAGGCGGGAUGCUCAGUCCGGCGUGAAAGCCCUCGGCUCAACCGGGGAAAGUCGUUGGAUACUGGCAUUCUCGAGCAGGGCAGAGGUUGGCGGAAUUCCAGGUGUAGCGGUGGAAUGCUUAGAUAUCUGGAAGAACACCAGUGGCGAAGGCG